CCAACACUGAGUUCUAGGUGUGUUGCAGAUAACUCAGGCCCGCUUCUCUUCUGUCUUCUCCAGCUUCCUGGCAGCUGAGCCAGCCGAGCUCUCUACCCACUAUAGUGCAUAGAGCCAUGGGACCAGAAGCAGGGUUCCCUGCAAAAUAAUGCAGAAAAUUUGAUAAUGGAAGAAGUUCACUGAAGGUCAGCUGUCUCCAAUCCUGAGGUCAUCACUCAUCAAGAGGGGAUAAUCCCAAGGACAGCAGGAUCUGCUUCGUCACUUGGAUUUAGGAGUGAGAAGCCCAUCAGGCAACUAAACAGUAACAAUGACCCACCAUUAAACACACGGAGAGAAGAGCAUGAUGAGGAGAUUGUACAAGAAGAAUCCUGGAGCUCUUGCUGACAACGCCUAUGGAGACGCUGACCAUUUUUCAGGUGUAUGGAGACUAUGAUUUUUGAAUGCUGAAAAUAAUCUUCACUACCAGCCAGACCAGUUUCUUCAAGACUGGGGUUUAAAAUAGCCCUGGCUCUCAUGGAUUUCAACAUGCUAUCUAAGUGGGAGCCCACAGAAGAUGGUGGCACAGAUCCAGCACAAAGCUCUUGAUCAAAAGAAGAAGCAGGAUAUGCAUAAGAUCCCAGUCAGGGGAAUUUGCUGCAGCUGUUGUCGGCAAAUCCAUGUCCUGAUACACUCAAGUACCAGAAAAGCAGUAAUCCGCCCUCGGAGUUCCAUAGUGAUGGCUGCACUGUGGAAAGGGAAAGGUAGACUAUGGGUAGAAUGCAUUAUUGAUAAUACUUCAUCAAGAACAGUGAAUCGCAAAUUAAAUGCCUUAGACACGAAAUGCAAUAAACAGCACAUCAAAUAUUUUUGAAAUACGCAAAGCAUUGCUUUAAGGUAAGAAUGUGAUAUUUUCUAAAAUGUUGGGGUGGGGUUCCAAGCACUAAAGUCAUUAUUUUUAUAUGAAGUGUUUCAUGGCAGUCAGAAAUACUAAGGGUUUGAGCUCCCACCCCCUGGAUUCAUGGCUAUUGAAGUGAUAAUGAAGAAGUGUCAUACGGUGACACAGGCCUUCCGUGAUUCUCCAAACACUUUUCUGCACAGUG
rnacentral:lncRNA from 1 species